CCCACCUAAAAUAUCUACCUUCGGUCCAAGAGUAUUCACUACUCUUCAGCUCACUCCACCGCCUUCCCUGAGCAAUGUUUUCUUUUGAGUUGUACCUGUCACUUCAUUUCAUACCUCCUCUGAGUUAUCUUCAAGCUUGAACCAUCGUCUCCAUCGUUGUUGCUCUGUUUAUCAUCUUCACUAGCCUCAGGUGGUCGACGUUUAUCCUCAUGGGAAUGCUGUAUCAUGCCAGUACUCUGAUUUGACCAAUGUUAUUCUGAUAGUCUAUUAAACAGCUCCUCAAGAAAUUUGUCAAAUCUGGAGUGCUUUAGUGAGAGGCUCAAAACACCCUUUUUUUUGAUUCCAAACGAGGCUCGGGCACCCCAUCGAAGUCUAUUUUAGACUUAUAAAAUCUGGUGCACCAGGUUGCUGGUACAACCUAGAUCACAAAGGGUAAAACUCAUUUGAGGAAUGCGUUAUAUGCCAUAUGCACCUGGUAACCUGGUCCUAGUUGGAGAGCACCCAAGUUUGGUCGAUUUAGGUGAUAUCUGGUGCUUUCAAGGUAGUGGUUGGCUUUCAGACAUCUGGAUGAAUUCUCCUACCUUUCUUAUAGACUAUGUCUUUAAUUUCAUAUUAAAGAUAGAGUUCCUCUUGUAUUUUGGAUAUUUUAUGUAUUUCACUUGUAUUUCAGUUGUACUAGAUACGUUCUUAUACUAUUGACAUCAGGUUUUUGGAGUUAUGACUGCAUUAUUGAUUAUAUUAUUUUCAUAUUUAUUA